AAAUUGAAGAGUUUGAUCAUGGCUCAGAUUGAACGCUGGCGGCAGGCCUAACACAUGCAAGUCGAGCGGUAGCACAGAGAGCUUGCUCUCGGGUGACGAGCGGCGGACGGGUGAGUAAUGUCUGGGAAACUGCCUGAUGGAGGGGGAUAACUACUGGAAACGGUAGCUAAUACCGCAUAAUGUCGCAAGACCAAAGUGGGGGACCUUCGGGCCUCAUGCCAUCAGAUGUGCCCAGAUGGGAUUAGCUAGUAGGUGGGGUAACGGCUCACCUAGGCGACGAUCCCUAGCUGGUCUG
rnacentral:rRNA from 1 species